GAAACUUCUGCAAUGUCCCCUGGCACUGCAGAUAUAAUGCCAACACAGUACAAUUUAAUCAUGUGCUGUAGCAGGUGUUUAGAAGACUGCUCAGGACAUUAGCAGAGUAAGACCAGAGCUGUUGUCUGGGGGAAUGAACAAUGAGAUGCAAGAAGCUGUUCAGUAGUUCCCAGAAUGUAAACUGGCUGAAGGAGGGCUUAGUUCUGUGAGUGCAGGAUUCCUCCUGAAAUGGAUAUUCUGGAUAUUCUGGCUUCCCACAAGGCCUCCAAGUGCCUGUGCCCCAGCAAUAACACAGCUUUGGUCUUCCCUGGAGACAGAACUGAAUUAGAGAGAUUGCUGGCUUGAUUCUGUCUGGC